rnacentral:rRNA from 1 species
UACAGAGGGUGCGAGCGUUAAUCGGAAUUACUGGGCGUAAAGGGCUCGUAGGCGGCCAACUAAGUUCAGACGUGAAAUCCCUCAGCUUAACUGGGGAACUGCGUCUGAUACUGGAUGGCUUGGAUUCGGGAGAGGAAUGCGGAAUUCCAGGUGGAGCGGUGAAAUGCGUAGAUAUCUGGAGGAACGACCGGUGGCGAAGGCGGCAUUCUGGACCGACAUUGACGCGUGAGGAGCGAAAGCGUGGGGAUCAAAGCAGG